GCUCUGCUCCGUUCCCGCUCCCGCCCCGGGAGUCUGUGUUUAAUGAAACAGCUUUAGUGUUUUGUUACUGGCUUCUUAGGGCUUAAAUGCAGAGUUUGAAAUGAUGCCUUGUGGUUGAGUGAGUGUCUUCCUGCUGAAUUCAGCAGGCAUUCGGUGAAUUUGGGCUUCUGCAGGUGAAUUCAGUCUGGUGUUGUGGUUUUGUUUGUUUCUGUACUUGGGACAGUGAACCAAAUGUUCUUUUUCCCUCUCCGUCAGUGCUCUGAGGAGACCAAAUGUCCAGAAUGGUGCCGGUGACUUUGCUUGUGCACCUGCCGGGUAGAGGAGCAGGUUUGGCUCUGUGCAGCCCUGCUCCGGAGGCCGGCAGGGUGCUCUCUGGGUGCCCUGCAGCGCUGCCCUGGGAGCAGAGCAGCCCAUGCUGGGCUGUUCCUCAGGGCAGCUCUUGUGCUCUCUCUCGUCCUUUGCAGCGGAGGAGGCGGACCAGCUGAAGAGCCUGUUGCAGCCGAAGCGGCGCGAGCUGGCGCUGGACGUGCCGAAAGCAGAGGAACUGCCUGGGCUGCCAGAGAUGCUGAGAAAGGGCUGACGAAUUAGUGGUUACCACGACAACCUGUCACCUGUAGCUGAGCUCCACCCACCGCAUGUCCAAGGAGCUGCAGGUAAGGAACAAAGUGAAGCAGGAGCAGAAUGCCAGGCUGCAGCACCGAGGGAGAAUUGGAAGGAGCGCAGCUUGGAGGUGGCAGUGCUGGAGAAGCGUGUUAGUGAGCUGCCAGAGCACCUGGAGAAGAGAAAGGCAGCUCUGUCCCAGGGAGAGAAUGUACCAGUUUCUUCAGAUGGGAAUUCACCACAGCCAGUGGCUUCUGCUCCAAGGGGAGUGGCAGCAGUAGGUCCUUCUAUCCAGUCCUCUACUAUGCCACAUAUUGCUUCCAGACCUGAACUUUAGGUGAAAGCAGCAUUCUCAGGUGGGACGUGAGCCUUGCCGGGCAGCUGAGGGUCUGCUAAAAUCACAAACUCCGCCCAGCGUGGGAGCUGGGAACCGUUCACAAGCUAAAGCUCCUGCAGGUAAGAGCUUAUGAUUAAUAGUUCUUAUCCAGACAUGUUUUGGUUCAUCUAACUGCUCUGUUUUGGUGGUUUGGGGUUUUGUUUGUUUGUUUGUUUUUGAAGCAAAGAGUUACUUGCGAUGUUAAGUCUCGCUACUUGCAAUUAUUUUUUUUUUGUGCCUGUGAAUACAUUUAUAAGCAGUGAGGUUAUACAGUUCAAUGUUAUAAAUUAGGUAAUUCUCUUAGUGAGCAACAGGAGUUGUUAUACAGUGUGGACUGCAGAAGGAUUUGUGUGUAAACUAAUUAUUUUUUUUAUUUUAAAGCUCUCCUAAAAACUAUACACCAGUGUGCGUUUGAGUUUCUAGAGUCAGUUUUGGGUCAUACCUGGUAACAAUCUGGUGCCUGGAUUUAACAACUAGCAAAGCCAAGUUUUGUGAUCAUGCAUUUUGGAAAUGACACGUGUAAAGGAUUUACCAUUAGCGUAGCUAACAUGGCUACAGGCUCUGAAGUUAGAACUUCAGAAAAGAAGGCUCCCUGCCAAGGUCAAGGAGGAGUCUUAGAAAGCUAAACAAGUUUUUUCAUCUCUUAUGGACACCUGUGAUGCUCCAAUUAACACCGGACAACAAAGUAUGUUUCUCUUAUAUAUCCAGUGCUGUGUGAAGAAGAAUCACACGUCCAGGUGUAGCAGCAGUAUAUAAUAAAUGUUCUUCUUCUAAUAAACGGACAUUUUGCCAACCA